CGAACGGUCGCGUAACACGUAAGCAACCUGCCCCAAAGACCGGGACAACGUUCGAAAGGAGCGCUAAUACCGGAUGUGCCCACGAGAAGGAUUCUUUUUGUGAGUAAAGCGCGCAAGUGGCUUUGGGAGGGGCUUGCGGCCUAUCAGCUAGAUGGUGGGGUAACGGCCUACCAUGGCGACGACGGGUAGCUGGUCUGAGAGGAUGGUCAGCCGGAUUGGGACUGAGAUACGGCCCAG
rnacentral:rRNA from 1 species